CGCGCCUAACACAUGCAAGUCGCACGAGAAGGGCUUCGGCCCCGGUAAACGGUGGCGCACGGGUGAGUAACACGUGGGUAACCUGCCCUUGAGCGGGGAUAACAUUCCGAAGGAGUGCUAAUACCGCAUGAGACCACGCUCUCGAAAGAGAGAGGGGUAAAGGCUGGCCUCUGUACACAAGCUAGCACUCGAGGAUGGGCCCGCGGGGGCAUCAGGUAGUUGGUAGGGUAACGGCCUACCAAGCCUAAGACGCCUAGCUGGUCUGAGAGGAUGAUCAGCCACACUGGAACUGAGACACGGUCCAGACUCCUACGGGAGGCAGCAGUGGGGAAUCUUGCGCAAUGGGCGAAAGCCUGACGCAGCGACGCCGCGUGAGUGAUGAAGGCCUUCGGGUUGUAAAGCUCUGUGGGGAGAGACGAAUAAGUGCGGGCUAAUACUCCGCAUGAUGACGGUAUCUCCUUAGCAAGCACCGGCUAACUCUGUG
rnacentral:rRNA from 1 species